AGACAGCGCGCGCGAUUUGUGACGCUCUUUUCGUUUGCUUUGGAUUGGAUUCCAGAACAAGCUCCAGAACUUGGCGUGUAGAGCCCCAGAAAAGCAGCUUCUCUUCCCCUAGAGGGAAACAUUCACUCUAUCGAAAGGGUCCGUCUUGCCACACGUGCAGUUCUCGUUCUGGGCCCAGGUGUACAGACACACAGCUGAGAGGUGGCCGUCGCGCACCUUUCGCUCCUCGUUUUUCGGAGAUCGAACCCGUUUCGACACUUUCGGUUGUGAGCGAUCUGAGCCGCUUUUGCCACUCAAGUAGGCUCCCUAAGGACGGGGGAAGGGGUAUGCCUUUGUCAUGGCGAGUAUAGGGCGUUCUUUGUCUUGCGCGGCGCCGCCUGCAAACGCUGUUCUGCCGCUGCUCUCGCUGCUGGCGAAAAACGCGAGACCGUCGUCCUCUUCUCGCGGGGAGUUGUUUGAGGGGCUGGGAAUAGACGUCGAAGCUCCUCACGCCCUGUUCCACAGCGGCUGAGACUAAAGGAGAAACGCGCACCGCAAGAGAGCGUCGAGAGGCCAGCCCGACGUACGCGCUGAGCUGCUGGUCCCGUGCGAGUCGAAGAGUCGUUCUGCCCGUACAGGAUGUGUUGGAGAACACCCGAGAAAAAGGAGAGGGGGGAGAGGACGCAAGGGGAAGAAACAGAGAGAUUCUGUUCCGCGGCGCGCAUCCAGUGGCUCUGAGUUAGAGGAACUCCAGCAAGCAGAAGAUAGACCAGAAGGAUACCUUCUGAACGCCUAUACGAAGACGCGCACAUGUGCACGCCCACCACCACAUGUAUACCGACAGAUGUGAAAAGGCGGAUCUGCAUGUGCACGUGGACUUUUUAGAAACAAAGGCGCGAGUGCGCGACCGUCUGAGACUGGAGAAAAACAAGAGUACCACGGACUCAGAACAGCACUUGCGACAAUCGAUGAAUCUGCAUAUAUAUAUAUAUAUAUGUAUACAUGAGUGUAAGCAUAUUGAUGAAUAUCUACAUCUGUGUAUUUGUUUAUUCGUCUGUAUAAGGCAGCGGAUAGUUUUGUCGGCUGUUGGAGACUCUUUGGAUCUGCAGGGAGUUGGCGACUGCGUGGCAAUUCACGAAAAAAGCGUUGCUUCCCGUCAGGCCAAGGGCGCGACUACAGCCCAGUGCGUCGGUUGCUCUAUUCUCGCAAACCUUUCAGUCCCCGCCAUCGGCGUGUAUAACUAUAUCAACCUCUGUAUAAAAUAUCUUUUUGC
rnacentral:lncRNA from 1 species